GGCAGGCUUAGCGCAUCUCAUCGAUGCGCCACUCUGGAGUUAUCAUUCUUCGGAUGCGUCCGUAGGAAGGGUGCCACACGCGUGAGCAAACGUACCCGCAUCGGGGGGAUAAGCUCUGUAAUCCGUGUCUAAUACCCCCAUUAACAACAGGGGUCACAUAAACUAUUGUUGGCAGCUGCGACGGAUCGUCGGAUUGACUUGCGUGUCUUUAGCUAGUUGGGCGCGCGCAACCGCCCCCCCGAGGCCGCUGAUGUCUAGGGGUAUGAUGAGACGCACCCGUCCCCCCACACUGGAACUGAGACCCGGGUCCAGACCUCCUACGGGAGGCAGCAAUUGAUGAAUAUUGGUCAAUGGGCGGAAUCCCGACCCAGCCAGGCAAGGUAAGGGAAUAAGGCCGUACGGAUAGUAAAUUUCUUUUGUGGUGGACCAAUAAGUACUACGCGUAGUCCGCUGAGAGUACAUCACGAAUAAGCAUCGGCUAACUCCGUGCCAGCAGCCGCGGUAAUACGGAGGAUGCAAGCGUUAUCCGGAUUUAUUGGGUUUAAAGGGUGCGUAGGCUGUGCCGCAAGUCGGGGGUGAAAGCCCGGGGCCCAACCCCGGAACUGCCCUUGAUACUGCGGCGCUGGAGUUCGGAUGCCGUGGGAGGAAUGAGUAGUGUAGCGGUGAAAUGCAUAGAUAUUACUCAAAACACCGAUUGCGAAGGCAUCUCACGAAUCCGACACUGACGCUGAGGCACGAAAGCGUGGGGAUCAAACAGGAUUAGAUACCCUGGUAGUCCACGCAGUAAACGAUGAUGACUAACUGUCGGCGAUAAACAGUCGGUGGCCAAGAGAAAGCGAUAAGUCAUCCCCCUGGGGAGUACGUUCGCAAGAAUGAAACUCAAAGGAAUUGACGGGGGCCCGCACAAGCGGGGGAACAUGUGGUUUAUUUCGAUGAUACGCGAGGACCCUCCCCCGGGCUCGAACGGCUAGUGAACGACCCAGAGAUGGAUG
rnacentral:rRNA from 1 species